GCACCCUGAUCCAGCCAUGCCGCGUGUGUGAAGAAGGCCUUUUGGUUGUAAAGCACUUUAAGCAGUGAAGAAGACCUAACGGUUAAUACCCGUUAGCGAUGACAUUAGCUGCAGAAUAAGCACCGGCUAACUCUGUGCCAGCAGCCGCGGUAAUACAGAGGGUGCAAGCGUUAAUCGGAAUUACUGGGCGUAAAGCGAGCGUAGGUGGCUUGAUAAGUCAGAUGUGAAAUCCCCGGGCUUAACCUGGGAACUGCAUCUGAUACUGUCAGGCUAGAAUAGGUGAGAGGAAGGUAGAAUUCCAGGUGUAGCGGUGAAAUGCGUAGAGAUCUGGAGGAAUACCGAUGGCGAAGGCAGCCUUCUGGCAUCAUAUUGACACUGAGGUUCGAAAGCGUGGGUAGCAAACAGGAUUAGAUACCCUGGUAGUCCACGCCGUAAACGAUGUCUACUAGUCGUUGGGUCCCUUGAGGACUUAGUGACGCAGCUAACGCAAUAAGUAGACCGCCUGGGGAGUACGGCCGCAAGGUUAAAACUCAAAUG
rnacentral:rRNA from 1 species